AUUUAUGGAGAGUUUGAUCCUGGCUCAGAGUGAACGCUGGCGGCGUGCUUAACACAUGCAAGUCGAACGAGAACGGAUUAUAGCUUGCUAUAAUUGUCAGCUAAGUGGCGCACGGGUGAGUAAUGU
rnacentral:rRNA from 1 species